rnacentral:misc_RNA from 1 species
AAGAGGGAGCAGCUUGGUUGAAAGAAACCUGUUCUGCGCAGCUAAGCAUUUCAUGAGGCCCUGCUUCCUCUCUACCAACUCCCAUCAGGUCAAGGUAAUAUAGGUAGUGAGAGACGAUAUUGUUCAUUGAUUCAUCGUCUCCUUUCCCGCAAACCUGAUCUCCAUAGAGAACAUUCAUGGUGGUGCCAAAACCAGGUACCCUCUUAGACAAGGUGUCAUUCUUGGUAGGCUUCCAG